UUUUUUGAUGUGUUUGUGGGAGAAGGUGAGGAUGAUGUCUUACUCCUCUGCCGUCUUGAGCCUUCUUGAAUUAUUUUUUUAAUUGUGCAAAUAAUACUUGAAUACUUGCUCAUUGUAGAAUAAUUCAAACCAUACAGAAAUAUAGGGAGUGAAAAAUAAAUUUCCCCUUUACCUCUCUGCACUCCUCCUCCCAGAGAAAACAAUUAUUAACAGUUUGAUUUGUAUUCUUUUACACAAACAUGACUACACAUAAUUAAGUCAAUUAAAAGGGAGGAAAAGUCUGUUACAACAGGGAAGUGAAGCCAGGCUGCCUGGGUUCUAACCCAGAUUCUACCACAUAAAACUGUAUGAUAUUGGAUGUCUUAUCUAACUUUUAUGCUCCUUGGUUUCCUCAUAUGUAAAAUGGUAAUAUAUCUGUUUCAUAGAGAUGUUAAAAGGAUUAAAUUAGUAUAUGUGAAGUAUUUAGAAAAGUGUUUGAUACACAGUACACACACAACACAUGAUGGAAUCCUACUGUUUGUAUGAUUUUUCAACUCGUAUUCCAUCAAUAAACACAGAGGCAAUACAAUGCAGUGAUUAAUAAGUUGUUCCCUGGUACAAAUUUACUAUUGUAAAUUUACUAUCUGGUCCCACCAUUUACUAUCUUUGUGAACUUCAAUAAGUAUAUAGCCAUCCUCUGUCUUUGUUUCUGUAAAAUGGGGAUAAUAGUUUCUGUUUUAAAUUAAGUCAUAUGCAUAGAAUGUUCAGAAUGAUUAUUACAUAGUAAUUACUUAUUUUUACAAUCAUUCCAUCAUUUUCCAUCAUUAAAAAUCCUCAGUUAGGUAUUUCAUAUAACAGAUAUAAGUUAACCACUGUCUUAUUGAUGGCAAUUUAUUUUUAAUUAUUCAUUAUUACAAAAUACGCUGGUUAGCAUACUGCUUUUUUCCUACUAAAAAAAUUUAAAAUAACCUUGUUUCUAUCUUCACUUGAAUGAAGAAAGCUAUUGCUGUUAACAUUUCCCACUGUCAUUAUCAUUUGCAUAUUGAAUAAACACUUUCGAGAUCCUCUUUUAGUAUGUGACCAUUACCAUACCAUAUAUGUAUUCAACCCACAAUCCAAAAAGGAUUUUGCCUGUGUUUGGACUGUUGGAAUUUCAGAGAUUGAAUUUUUCUUUAGGCAUCCUGAUAUUUGGAAAAGGGAUAUAUUGCACUCUUCUGUUUGGAAACCUUGUCUAAUAAAAUGCUUGGAGAAGCCUUCCUAAUUGAACUCCUAUACAAAGAACAACUUACAUGUAAGAAAACCUCAAAUGAUGAAAAAAAAACUGGGGAAAAGCAGAUAUUAGAUAUAGAAGACAAUUCACUAUCUCCUGAUAAAAUAGAAAUUCCAAACAAAGUCCUGAAAGCAAGUUUAACAGAGCAAAGUAAUGACACAAAUAAAAUAAAAUCUGUGGAUGAGCUAAAUGUGGCAAAAUGCAAAACUGCAUCUCUUCCAAGAAAGAAAUGUGUCUGCUGUGUUGCCCAUUCCAAAGAGAGAACAACAUGAUGUAAAGAAACUAGAUGUAUACCGAUCUUGGUCCUGUACAAAUAUUUGCCAGAAUUAUCCUGACCUGCAGAUUGGAGGAGACCACGUGGGUAACAUGUAUGAUUCUGGCUGCUUUGUGGAACACAUACGUGAUGAUCGUCCCCUUUUACUUUCAUCAGAUAUACCAUUGGGCCAUUCUCCCAUCAUUGGAUCUCUAAAGAAACUACCUGCCUCAAAGCUUUUGACUGGGGGUGAAACUCAAGAAAAAAGUACAUCGCUUCAUAAGCAACCCCUCUCUAAUUCUAUGCUUAAUAGUUAUAUGGAAAAAAAAAGUGGACGAACUCUACAAACAGUUUUUAGAAGAGAAUCUCACUAGGUGCUGUUCCAUAAACAAUCUUAUGGCUUCCAAUUUGCUAAUGAAUAAUGUAAAUCAGAUUAGCCUUCAAAUCUCUCUAGAGCAGAACAUGGAGACAUCAAAAGCUCAGGAAGUUCUUUUAUAUUCUUUAGUAAGAUGUAUUUUCUGCAACAUUUCCCAUGGAAAUAGUUCUGAAUUCAGCACCCCUAACUUACAAAUAUCAAACCAGAGAAGUAGGGAACUUGUAUUAUAUUUACAGUAAGCAAGUUGGUUGGACUGAUUUAUGAGACUGGAGCAACAGUAGUUUUUGGCUUAUUGUGGCAAAUCAGGCCUCUUUGGGGUGUGGCUAUUACAUUUCUUGAGAAAUUAUUUGACUAAUGGUACAUUUGAAUUCUUGUAUGAGACCAUUUCUAUAAUUAAGUUUUAUGACCACAAUUUAAAAAUUAUUUUGGUAUCUUUAAUGGUUAUUCCAUUCAAGUUUGUAUAUUCCAUACUUGCUUAUCUAUGUAGUUGUCACCAGCAUCCCAAAUUGAUUACCUCACUCUCACUCAUUAGAUUCAUUUACCACUAAAAUGGGCAAAAGUAAGAUAAGGAGAGAAUUGUUGUUCUUAGCUACUGAAAAAAA